rnacentral:rRNA from 1 species
GUUAAGCGACUAAGCGUACACGGUGGAUGCCCUGGCAGUCAGAGGCGAUGAAGGACGUGCUAAUCUGCGAUAAGCGUCGGUAAGGUGAUAUGAACCGUUAUAACCGGCGAUUUCCGAAUGGGGAAACCCAGUGUGUUUCGACACACUAUCAUUAACUGAAUCCAUAGGUUAAUGAGGCGAACCGGGGGAACUGAAACAUCUAAGUACCCCGAGGAAAAGAAAUCAACCGAGAUUCCCCCAGUAGCGGCGAGCGAACGGGGAGCAGCCCAGAGCCUGAAUCAGUGUGUGUGUUAGUGGAAGCGUCUGGAAAGGCGCGCGAUACAGGGUGACAGCCCCGUACACAAAAAUGCACAUGCUGUGAGCUCGAUGAGUAGGGCGGGACACGUGGUAUCCUGUCUGAAUAUGGGGGGACCAUCCUCCAAGGCUAAAUACUCCUGACUGACCGAUAGUGAACCAGUACCGUGAGGGAAAGGCGAAAAGAACCCCGGCGAGGGGAGUGAAAAAGAACCUGAAACCGUGUACGUACAAGCAGUGGGAGCCUCUUUAUGGGGUGACUGCGUACCUUUUGUAUAAUGGGUCAGCGACUUAUAUUCUGUAGCAAGGUUAACCGAAUAGGGGAGCCGAAGGGAAACCGAGUCUUAACUGGGCGUUAAGUUGCAGGGUAUAGACCCGAAACCCGGUGAUCUAGCCAUGGGCAGGUUGAAGGUUGGGUAACACUAACUGGAGGACCGAACCGACUAAUGUUGAAAAAUUAGCGGAUGACUUGUGGCUGGGGGUGAAAGGCCAAUCAAACCGGGAGAUAGCUGGUUCUCCCCGAAAGCUAUUUAGGUAGCGCCUCGUGAAUUCAUCUCCGGGGGUAGAGCACUGUUUCGGCAAGGGGGUCAUCCCGACUUACCAACCCGAUGCAAACUGCGAAUACCGGAGAAUGUUAUCACGGGAGACACACGGCGGGUGCUAACGUCCGUCGUGAAGAGGGAAACAACCCAGACCGCCAGCUAAGGUCCCAAAGUCAUGGUUAAGUGGGAAACGAUGUGGGAAGGCCCAGACAGCCAGGAUGUUGGCUUAGAAGCAGCCAUCAUUUAAAGAAAGCGUAAUAGCUCACUGGUCGAGUCGGCCUGCGCGGAAGAUGUAACGGGGCUAAACCAUGCACCGAAGCUGCGGCAGCGACACUAUGUGUUGUUGGGUAGGGGAGCGUUCUGUAAGCCUGUGAAGGUGUACUGUGAGGUAUGCUGGAGGUAUCAGAAGUGCGAAUGCUGACAUAAGUAACGAUAAAGCGGGUGAAAAGCCCGCUCGCCGGAAGACCAAGGGUUCCUGUCCAACGUUAAUCGGGGCAGGGUGAGUCGACCCCUAAGGCGAGGCCGAAAGGCGUAGUCGAUGGGAAACAGGUUAAUAUUCCUGUACUUGGUGUUACUGCGAAGGGGGGACGGAGAAGGCUAUGUUGGCCGGGCGACGGUUGUCCCGGUUUAAGCGUGUAGGCUGGUUUUCCAGGCAAAUCCGGAAAAUCAAGGCUGAGGCGUGAUGACGAGGCACUACGGUGCUGAAGCAACAAAUGCCCUGCUUCCAGGAAAAGCCUCUAAGCAUCAGGUAACAUCAAAUCGUACCCCAAACCGACACAGGUGGUCAGGUAGAGAAUACCAAGGCGCUUGAGAGAACUCGGGUGAAGGAACUAGGCAAAAUGGUGCCGUAACUUCGGGAGAAGGCACGCUGAUAUGUAGGUGAAGUCCCUCGCGGAUGGAGCUGAAAUCAGUCGAAGAUACCAGCUGGCUGCAACUGUUUAUUAAAAACACAGCACUGUGCAAACACGAAAGUGGACGUAUACGGUGUGACGCCUGCCCGGUGCCGGAAGGUUAAUUGAUGGGGUCAGCGCAAGCGAAGCUCUUGAUCGAAGCCCCGGUAAACGGCGGCCGUAACUAUAACGGUCCUAAGGUAGCGAAAUUCCUUGUCGGGUAAGUUCCGACCUGCACGAAUGGCGUAAUGAUGGCCAGGCUGUCUCCACCCGAGACUCAGUGAAAUUGAACUCGCUGUGAAGAUGCAGUGUACCCGCGGCAAGACGGAAAGACCCCGUGAACCUUUACUAUAGCUUGACACUGAACAUUGAGCCUUGAUGUGUAGGAUAGGUGGGAGGCUUGGAAGUGUGGACGCCAGUCUGCAUGGAGCCGACCUUGAAAUACCACCCUUUAAUGUUUGAUGUUCUAACGUUGACCCGUAAUCCGGGUUGCGGACAGUGUCUGGUGGGUAGUUUGACUGGGGCGGUCUCCUCCUAAAGAGUAACGGAGGAGCACGAAGGUUGGCUAAUCCUGGUCGGACAUCAGGAGGUUAGUGCAAUGGCAUAAGCCAGCUUGACUGCGAGCGUGACGGCGCGAGCAGGUGCGAAAGCAGGUCAUAGUGAUCCGGUGGUUCUGAAUGGAAGGGCCAUCGCUCAACGGAUAAAAGGUACUCCGGGGAUAACAGGCUGAUACCGCCCAAGAGUUCAUAUCGACGGCGGUGUUUGGCACCUCGAUGUCGGCUCAUCACAUCCUGGGGCUGAAGUAGGUCCCAAGGGUAUGGCUGUUCGCCAUUUAAAGUGGUACGCGAGCUGGGUUUAGAACGUCGUGAGACAGUUCGGUCCCUAUCUGCCGUGGGCGCUGGAGAACUGAGGGGGGCUGCUCCUAGUACGAGAGGACCGGAGUGGACGCAUCACUGGUGUUCGGGUUGUCAUGCCAAUGGCACUGCCCGGUAGCUAAAUGCGGAAGAGAUAAGUGCUGAAAGCAUCUAAGCACGAAACUUGCCCCGAGAUGAGUUCUCCCUGACUCCUUGAGAGUCCUGAAGGAACGUUGAAGACGACGACGUUGAUAGGCCGGGUGUGUAAGCGCAGCGAUGCGUUGAGCUAACCGGUACUAAUGAACCGUGAGGCUUAACCUUACAAC